rnacentral:rRNA from 1 species
CUCCCUGAUGUUAGCGGCGGACGGGUGAGUAACACGUGGGUAACCUGCCUGUAAGACUGGGAUAACUCCGGGAAACCGGGGCUAAUACCGGAUGGUUGUUUGAACCGCAUGGUUCAAACAUAAAAGGUGGCUUCGGCUACCACUUACAGAUGGACCCGCGGCGCAUUAGCUAGUUGGUGAGGUAACGGCUCACCAAGGCGACGAUGCGUAGCCGACCUGAGAGGGUGAUCGGCCACACUGGGACUGAGACACGGCCCAGACUCCUACGGGAGGCAGCAGUAGGGAAUCUUCCGCAAUGGACGAAAGUCUGACGGAGCAACGCCGCGUGAGUGAUGAAGGUUUUCGGAUCGUAAAGCUCUGUUGUUAGGGAAGAACAAGUACCGUUCGAAUAGGGCGGUACCUUGACGGUACCUAACCAGAAAGCCACGGCUAACUACGUGCCAGCAGCCGCGGUAAUACGUAGGUG